rnacentral:rRNA from 1 species
GGCAUGCUGGAGGUAUCAGAAGUGCGAAUGCUGACAUAAGUAACGAUAAAGCGGGUGAAAAGCCCGCUCGCCGGAAGACCAAGGGUUCCUGUCCAACGUUAAUCGGGGCAGGGUGAGUCGACCCCUAAGGCGAGGCCGAAAGGCGUAGUCGAUGGGAAACGGGUUAAUAUUCCCGUACUUGGUGUUACUGCGAAGGGGGGACGGAGAAGGCUAUGUUGGCCGGGCGACGGUUGUCCCGGUUUAAGCGUGUAGGUGUGUGUUCCAGGUAAAUCCGGUUCACUUUAACACUGAGGCGUGACGACGAGGCACUACGGUGCUGAAGCAACAAAUGCCCUGCUUCCAGGAAAAGCCUCUAAGCAUCAGGUAACAUCAAAUCGUACCCCAAACCGACACAGGUGGUCAGGUAGAGAAUACCAAGGCGCUUGAGAGAACUCGGGUGAAGGAACUAGGCAAAAUGGUGCCGUAACUUCGGGAGAAGGCACGCUGACACGUAGGUGAAGUGAUUUACUCAUGGAGCUGAA